rnacentral:lncRNA from 1 species
GGCAGCUUGAGGGAUGUUAGCUUACAUGUAUCUUGGCAAGUCAAAUAACCCGUCAUGUUGGUCAGGUCGGAUUACAUAAUUAUCAUGUAGUUUUAUGCCGAUAGCCACCGGAAAGAACAUGGAAAACCUGAUUUUGAGUCAUUUAAGCAAAAGCGAACGCGGCCGCAGCGAUGAAGGGCAUCAAUGAACUGGGUUCCAAAAGGAGUUUCAAGGGCAAUGGUGGACUUGGAGAUGUCGUUUUAU